AUACGUAGGGGGCAAGCGUUGUCCGGAAUUACUGGGCGUAAAGGGUGCGUAGGCGGUUUAAUAAGUUAGAUGUGAAGUCCCCGGGCUUAACUUGGGAGUGGCAUUUAAAACUGUUGAACUAGAGUGCAGGAGAGGAAAGCGGAAUUCCUAGUGUAGCGGUGAAAUGCGUAGAUAUUAGGAGGAACACCAGUGGCGAAGGCGGCUUUCUGGACUGUAACUGACGCUGAGGCACGAAAGCGUGGGGAGC
rnacentral:rRNA from 1 species